CUGGUUGUUCUUAAAAUAGGAACAUCUGACGCCUUGUUUAACUUAUUCUGGGGGCCUGUGGGGAGGAGGAGGAGGGGAGAAAUCCCCUCUCUGUGGUCUGUUGCUCAGCCUCUUCCAGGAAGCCCUGCUGGGAAUUGCAUUCCAGUUUUCCACCUGCCCCCUUCAAGCUCUCCUUUUCUUGCUCCAACUUUGUGCCAGGAUGGGGACUUCCCUGCCAUCGUCCCAGUGUCUCACGUCACUCUCCAAUACCUCCUGGGCACGCUGCUGUCGGAAGCGUGGAGCUGCUGACAACUGCCAGGUUGUUACUGAAAACGGAGUGCCAUCAGACUUGGGGCAGAGCACACAGACGACUGCCUGAAUGUCCUUUCGCUUUGACUGUGAGGAGCAUUCAUGGAAGCGCAGUUGAGCAACGUGAGCUACCAGAGUUAAUCCUGAAGUGCUGAAGUCCAUGGAGCCAACCCAAUCUCUGCCAGGAGUACCAUCAGCAAAGGCAUGAUUUAGGUUCCGGAUAUUUUGGAUUUUCUCUGCAUUGCAAAAUAACAGGAUUUUUGAUAUUUAAUUAAAGCAAUUAUCUUUCCUAUCCAUGCAGAAAUGUGCCGUAAGUAUUUUGCAGGUAGAACAGGAGUGUUCAAUAGGAAACGCUCAAGCAGCUGGUGGCAAAGCUGAAUUUGCCUCCCCCUUAGGCAAAACUAACCUCUGACUUGCUCACUGCAGGGCUCCUUGGGAUAGCGUGCAAAAGGAGGAUGCCAGGCUCCUCGGAAUUCAAACAGGAGGAUGUUGUGCGCUGUGGGGAUUAGGCAGCAACUGCAGCUUUUGUUUUGGUGUAAUCAGGGUUCGGGUGUCCAGUGCCAUGGUUCUGCAUUCAGGCUUACACCUUUGCUCGCCUACCUUGCACGCAGUUGUCAUUUAUUUCUAAGGGACUGCAGUUGUUCAUGAAGAACAAGGACAGAUCUGGGCCUCAAGAAGGAAAAUACCCUAGAUGUUUGAAUAAUUAUUGCAAAUGGAGGAUCCAUGCAUGGUUUUGGGUGUGUGAGCAAGGAGGAAUCUCAUGGCUGCCUCCAGCACAGCUGUGAUGUACUGAGGGGCUCUCAACCCCAACAGCUUGGUCUGGAAAAUAAAUUGUCCUCCCAUAGGUA